rnacentral:lncRNA from 1 species
CAGAGUCAGCCCCGCCCCGCCCGCCCCUCCUUCCCCGCCCCGCCGCAACCGCGGAAAACCCGCGGGCGGAGGCCAAGGCCCAGCGCGGCCCGGCUGUGUCCCUGCGUCCCAGGGGCUGGGCGCGCCCGGCCUGCCCAGCGGGGGAUGCGGGGCGCUGUCACUUCCUCCCAGCAGCCGGGCAGGGGCGGGGGGCUGGCCGCGCGUCGCAUGGUAUGUGGAGUUCGGGGGACGGCACGGGGACGACGGGGUUGUCAGGCGCGGAGCCAUUGUCCGACGACGGCUCCUGAUAGGCCGCCUGGAUGGGGCGCGCUUGGCCGCGUUCCCGCGUCACACACCGGCUCCAGCUGCGGGAGAGCCCGUCCCACCCCAACUCCCCAGCCGCCCCUCUGAAGUGUUCCGGUGUCACCGUGGCCACAAGGAGGCAGGGGACGGGGGCUUCCUGAAGGAGGCCCCCUAAGGGGAAGGGGGCUACAAGGCUGGCCAGAGUGCUGGCCGCGCGGCUGUGCACAGGGCCUUGAGCCCCUCCGGUCGUCAAGCCUUGCUUGAAAUGCGUAAAUGCGGAAAGGUGAAGUGGCUGACCCGGCUCACACCACUUUAAGUAGCGGAGUGGGGUUCCUAGCCAGGCCUAUGGGACUCCCACUGGAGCCUUUCCCCCUCUGGGGCUGGGGCUGGACCCACAGGCUGCCGGAGCAGGCAGAAGGGGAGGGGCCCAAGGCCCAGACUCCAGGGCCUCGUCUGGAUCAUCAACCCGGCUUUGCCCAUUCAGCGCAGGCCUCCGUUUCCAGGCCUGUCUCCCCAUCCACACCGUCUCUCAGGGACUCCAGGGAUGACAUUUUUCAGAUGAGUCCACAGAGCCGCGGUGUCCCGGGGCUGGGAGGGUCCUUCCACCGGCACCGCGCAGAUGGAGUUCAUCCACACAGGGGCGAUGAGGAUACGGGCUGAGGGGCCCUGGCCGGUGGCUGCCUUCACGGCUGGCUGCUGUGGCCUCAUUGUGCAAUCCCCACAAGCCUCUCCUGCCAGACUCUGUUCCCCCACCCCACCCCCUCACCCCCCCUCCCAUUCCCAAGCAGAUCGGGAAAUUGCUCGGGAAGUCUGCAUCUGCCAGGAGGGCGUUGUCAGGCCUUAGGCCCCACUGUCCCCUCGAAGGCAGCCCCUGGUCUCCACGGGCUUUGCAGGGCUGAGGCGGGGCUGCCACCCUUGUCCCCCACUGACGGCAGUGGCCCGCCCAGAGCACCGGCUGGGGAUUGGGAAACGAGGCUGCUGCCUUGGACUUGUGUCUGCACCAGUCACUUCCCCUCUCUAAGCUCAGGCAUGAGGGUCAAUGGUAACAUAC